CUCGCAUCGAUGAAGAACGUAGCGAAAUGCGAUACUUGGUGUGAAUUGCAGGAUCCCGCGAACCACCGAGUCUUUGAACGCAAGUUGCGCCCGGAGCCUUCUGG
rnacentral:rRNA from 1 species